UACGUAGGGGGCAAGCGUUGUCCGGAAUCAUUGGGCGUAAAGCGCGUAGGCGGUUCGAUAAGUCUGCUGUGAAAGUCCAGGGCUCAACCCUGGGAUGCCGGUGGAUACUGUCGAGCUAGAGUACGGAAGAGGCGAGUGGAAUUCCCGGUGUAGCGGUGAAAUGCGCAGAUAUCGGGAGGAACACCAAUUGCGAAGGCAGCUCGCUGGGACGGUACUGACGCUGAGACGCGAAAGCGUGGGGAGCAAACAGG
rnacentral:rRNA from 1 species